rnacentral:rRNA from 1 species
AGUGAACGCUGGCGGUAGGCCUAACACAUGCAAGUCGAACGGCAGCACAGUAAGAGCUUGCUCUUACGGGUGGCGAGUGGCGGACGGGUGAGGUAUACAUCGGAAUCUACUUUUUCGUGGGGGAUAACGUAGGGAAACUUACGCUAAUACCGCAUACGACCUACGGGUGAAAGCAGGGGAUCUUCGGACCUUGCGCGAUUGAAUGAGCCGAUGUCGGAUUAGCUAGUUGGCGGGGUAAAGGCCCACCAAGGCGACGAUCCGUAGCUGGUCUGAGAGGAUGUUCAGCCACACUGGAACUGAGACACGGUCCAGACUCCUACGGGAAGCAGCAGUGGGGAAUAUUGGACAAUGGGCGCAAGCCUGAUCCAGCCAUACCGCGUGGGUGAAGAAGGACUUCGGGUUGUAAAGCCCUUUUGUUGGGAAAGAAAAGCAGCAGGUUAAUACCCCGCUGUUCUGACGGUACCCAAAGAAUAAGCACCGGCUAACUUCGUG